rnacentral:rRNA from 1 species
CCUGAAAGGGCGGGGUGCCCGCAAGGGAGCGUGGAGACAGGUGGUGCAUGGCUGUCGUCAGCUCGUGUCGUGAGAUGUUGGGUUAAGUCCCGCAACGAGCGCAACCCUCACCCCUAGUUGCCACCGGGUAAUGCCGAGCACUCGAGGGGAACUGCCAGCGUCAAGCUGGAGGAAGGCGGGGAUGACGUCAAGUCAUCAUGCCCCUUACGUCCUGGGCUACACACGUGCUACAAUGGCCGGUACAAAGGGAUGCGAGACCGCGAGGUGGAGCCAAUCCCAAAAAGCUGGUCUAAGUUCGGAUUGCAGUCUGCAACUCAACUGCAUGAAGUAGGAAUCGCUAGUAAUCGCGCAUCAGCACGGCGCGGUGAAUACGUUCCCGGGCCUUGUACACACCGCCCGUCACACCACGAAAGCUGG